rnacentral:rRNA from 1 species
AUUGAACGCUGGCGGAAUGCUUUACACAUGCAAGUCGAACGGCAGCACGGACUUCGGGCUGGUGGCGAGUGGCGAACGGGUGAGUAACAUAUCGGAACGUAUCCAAUAAUGGGGGAUAACUAAUCGAAAGGUUGGCUAAUACCGCAUACGCCCUACGGGGGAAAGCAGGGGAUCUUCGGACCUUGCGUUAAUGGAGCGGCUGAUAUCUGAUUAGCUGAUCGGGAAGGUAAAGGCUAACCGAGGCGACGAUCAGUAGCUGGUCUGAGAGGACGACCAUCCACACUGGAACUGAAAAGCGGUCCAGACUCGUACGGGAGGCAGGAGUGGGGGAUGUUGUACAAUGGGCGCAAGCCUAGUCCAGCCAUUCCGCGUGAGUGAAGAAGGCCUUCGGGUUGUAAAGCUCUUUCGCAAGGGAAGAAAACUUACUUUCUAAUAAAGAGGGAGGUUGACGGUACCUUGAUAAGAAGCACCGGCUAACUACGUGCCAGCAGCCGCCGUAA